GGAGAAACAAACGCUCAUCGUCAGCAGAGGAGAUGAUGACAGUCAGUAGCUGAAUUAAAGUCAAACACAUCAGCUGUUCCCUUCUUUACGUCCACAUCAUGUGGAAGACACUCUGGACUGAACUUGAUGUAACUGCUGAUUGUUUAAAAUCACUCAGCUGAUAAAAGGUUGAUGAAGUUAUGACGACGAUCUCAAACACUUUACUGACUGUAACCACAGCCAGAUGAAGACGUGUGAUGUCAUCAUGCUCAGCACAAAUUCACAAACCAAAUCUCACUAAUAAUGAGAUUAAAACACGGAUCAGAAGGAUUAAGAUGCUCCUGUGGCCCAAAACAGAAAACAUGUCUCACUUCCUGUCUGAGGCUCUCAGGUCCGAGCUCACUGGUUCCUACUGAAGACAUGAAACAGCUUUCAUAAACAAACAGCAGUGUGUGUGUGUGUGUGUGUGUGUGUGUGUGUGUGUGCAACACAGUAAUCUUGUUCCUCUUUCCCAGAUUACAUUAACAUCCACUUUCCUCACCGACAGCCUGGUGGAGCGGAUGUGUACUUUCGACACACAAACCCAGAAACCUGCAGCCUGACUGGCUGCUGUUGUGUUUAUUUCUGCUCUGUGAUUGGCUGAUAGAUCCGUCUUUAUCAGUUUAUCAUUGUUAUUGAUGUAAGUUUACAUGCAACAGUCAACCAAUUAAAUAAUUUUGCGCAGUGAAUCUCAAAAAGUCUUCAGAGUAGAUUAUUCAUUUUCCCCCUGAACAAACCUGGAAGGUUUAAAGAAAUUAAACUCUCUGUUACCGCGGAAACGCAGCAACAUGUUGUGUUAAACACUGAAAUCAAACUGUCCUCGAUUAAACUUCAUCAGCCGGCUGUCAAUGAUUGACGAGCGGCUGCAGUUCGAGGUCAGUGUUCGUCCUCCAGUGAACCCUGAAACUCUCAGCUGCCAGAAACUAAACCGGACGUCUCUCCAGAACAAACAACUUUAUUGAUUGAGUGUCUUCACACUUUCACACAUUUUGUUUCAUCCAUGUUAAUUAGAGGCUCUGGGAGUGAACGGUGCUGAGAGAGCGUCUGACCUGAACACCUGAGCUCACCUGCCAACACGUCCACUCCCUGAAGGUAAAGCAACGAACCUGCGGCCAGAAAACGCUGAGUCACUCUGAGCGACGGCGACUCUGAUGGAGCUGACCGGUCAAAGUUCAACCGAUCGCCACGAGUGGAUCUGCAGCGACUUCAUCUUUCCACUCGAGUAGAUCAACUGAUCAGGUCAUCGACUGAUGUUUUAUCUUAAAAUGUCAGAAGCAUCCAAAGAUAUUCCACUGAAUCCUGAUGUGUGAGGAGCUGGAACCUGCUGAUUCUUCUAUUGUUAUUAAAUGACUUAAAAAUUAA